rnacentral:rRNA from 1 species
GUCGAGGAUCAUUGGCAAUGCGCGCAAGCGUGACCAUGCGACGCUGUGUGGAGGAUGAAGGCCUUCGGGUCGUAAACUCCUGUCAUGAGGGAAAAAUCCUCCGGCUCGGAAUAUGGGUUGGAGUUGAUGGUACCUCAAGAGGAAGCGGCUGCUAACUCUGUGCCAGCAGCAGCGGUAAUACAGAGGCCGCAAGCGUUGUUCGGAUUUACUGGGCGUAAAGGGUGCGUAGGUUGCUCUGCAUGUCGGAUGUGAAAUCCCACGGCCCAACCGUGGAACGCCAUCCGAAACUGCAGAGCUGGAGUCCAGGAAGGGAGAGCGGAAUUCUUGGUGUAGCGGUGAAAUGCGUUGAUAUCAAGAGGAAAGCCGGCGGCGAAGGCGGCUCUCUGGACUGGUACUGACACUGAGGCACGAAAGCUGGGGGAGCAAACAGGAUUAGAUACCCGAGUAGUCC